AUUGAACGCUGGCGGCAGGCCUAACACAUGCAAGUCGAACGAGUGGCGGACGGGUGAGUAAUGUCUGGGAAACUGCCCGAUGGAGGGGGAUAACUACUGGAAACGGUAGCUAAUACCGCAUACCAUCGGAUGUGCCCAGAUGGGAGUAGCUAGUAGGUGGGGUAACGGCUCACCUAGGCGACGAUCCCUAGCUGGUCUGAGAGGAUGACCGUCCACACUGGAGCUGCGACACGGUCCAGACUCCUACGGGAGGCAGCAGUAGGUAAUGUUGCACAAUGGGCGAAAGCCUGAUGCAGCCGUGCCGCGUGUAUGAAGAAGGCCUUCGGGUUGUAAAGUGCUUUCAGCGAAGAGGCGUUACUCACAGAGGAAGCACCGGCUAACACCGUGCCAGCAGCCGCGGUAAUAC
rnacentral:rRNA from 1 species